rnacentral:rRNA from 1 species
AUUGAACGCUGGCGGCAGGCCAAACACAUGCAAGUCGAACGAGUGGCGGACGGGUGAGUAAUGUCUGGGAAACUGCCUGAUGGAGGGGGAUAACUACUGGAACCGGUAGCUAAUACCGCAUACCAUCAGAUGUGCCCAGAUGGGAUUAGCUAGUUGGUGGGGUAAAGGAUCACCAAGGCGACGAUCCCUAGCUGGUCUGAGAGGAUGACCAGCCACGCUGGAACUGAGAAACGGUCCAGUAUCCUACGGGAGGCAGCAGUGGGGAAUAUUGCACAAUGGGCGCGAGCCGGAUGCAGCCAUGCCGCGUGUAUGGAGAAGGCCUUCGGGUUGUAAAGUACUUUCAGCGGGGAGGCGUUACACGCAGGAGAAGCUCCGGCUAACUCCGUGCCAGCAGGCGCGGUAAUUC